GGAAUUUUGGACAAUGGGCGAAAGCCUGAUCCAGCGACGCCGUGUGCGGGAGGAAGCCCUUCGGGGUGUAAACCGCUGUCAGGGGGGAAGAAAACGCUUGCACUAAUACUGCGAGUGCUUGACGGUACCCCCCGAGGGAGCGCCGGCUAACUCCUCGCCAGCAGCCGCGGUAAGACGGAGGGCGCAAGCGUUGUCCGGAAUUACUGGGCGUAAAGGGGGCGCAGGCGGCUUGCUAAGUCCUGUGUGAAAUCCCACGGCUCAACCGUGGAAUGGCGCAGGAAACUGGCGAGCUUGAGACGGGUAGAGGCGAGUGGAAUUCCCGGUGUAGCGGUGGAAUGCGUAGAUAUCGGGAAGAACACCAGUGGCGAAGGCGACUCGCUGGGCCCGUUCUGACGCUCAGGCCCGAAAGCGUGGGGAGCA
rnacentral:rRNA from 1 species